UACAGAGGUCUCAAGCGUUGUUCGGAUUCAUUGGGCGUAAAGGGUGCGUAGGCGGCGCGGUAAGUCGGGUGUGAAAUCUCGGAGCUUAACUUCGAAACUGCAUUCGAUACUGCCGUGCUUGAGGACUGGAGAGGAGACUGGAAUUUACGGUGUAGCGGUGAAAUGCGUAGAUAUCGUAAGGGAGACCAGUGGCGAAGGCGGGUCUCUGGACAGUUCCUGACGCUGAGGCACGAAGGUCAGGGGAGCAAACGGG
rnacentral:rRNA from 1 species